GUUUACUUCAUCCACACAUGUGGUAAAAUUGGAACAAAACAGAAAAGAUCAGUGUAACCUGUGUGUGAGAAUUAUCCCAAAUUUGAGAGGUAUUCCAUAUUUUC